AUUGAACGCUGGCGGCAUGCUUUACACAUGCAAGUCGAACGGGGUGAGAGGGCAACUUCUCAUUCAGUGGCGAACGGGUGAGUAAUGCAUCGGAACGUACCCUGUAGUGGGGGAGUAACGCCGGGAAACCGGCGCUAAUACCGCAUAUUUCUCUGUGGAGGAAAGACGGGGGACCGUGUUAGAGGGCCGUCGCGCUAUGGGA
rnacentral:rRNA from 1 species